GAUCCUGGCUCAGGAUGAACGCUGGCGGCGUGCUUAACACAUGCAAGUCGAACGAAGCACUUAAAUUUGAUUCUUCGGAUGAAGAUUUUUGUGACUGAGUGGCGGACGGGUGAGUAACGCGUGGGUAACCUGCCUCAUACAGGGGGAUAACAGUUAGAAAUGACUGCUAAUACCGCAUAAGCGCACAGGGUCGCAUGACCUGGUGUGAAAAACUCCGGUGGUAUGAGAUGGACCCGCG
rnacentral:rRNA from 1 species